AUACUUACCUGGCGUAGGAGAUACCGGUUAUCAUGCCGGCGGUUCCCCCAGGGCGAGGUUGCUUCAUUGCACUACGGAGCAGUUGACCCUUGCGAUUAUCUUUAUUUUGAUCAAUAAAAAAAUAACAUUAAACAAAUGUUUACCCGAAUAAUUAUUUUCUUUAUAC
rnacentral:snRNA from 9 species